rnacentral:rRNA from 1 species
CCUACGGGGGGCUGCAGUGGGGAAUAUUGGACAAUGGGCGAAAGCCUGAUCCAGCCAUGCCGCGUGUGUGAAGAAGGCCUUCGGGUUGUAAAGCACUUUCAGUGGGGAAGAAAGCCUUGGGGCUAAUACCCUCGAGGAAGGACAUCACCCACAGAAGAAGCACCGGCUAACUCCGUGCCAGCAGCCGCGGUAAUACGGAGGGUGCGAGCGUUAAUCGGAAUUACUGGGCGUAAAGCGCGCGUAGGCGGUCUGAUAAGCCGGUUGUGAAAGCCCCGGGUUCAACCUGGGAACGGCAUCCGGAACUGUCAGGCUAGAGUGCAGGAGAGGAAGGUAGAAUUCCCGGUGUAGCGGUGAAAUGCGUAGAGAUCGGGAGGAAUACCAGUGGCGAAGGCGGCCUUCUGGACUGACACUGACGCUGAGGUGCGAAAGCGUGGGUAGCAAACAGGAUUAGAUACCCCUGUAGUC